UGAGAGCUUUUACCCUAAUGAUAAUUAUUAUCAUAUCCCUGAUGAUCUUAAUAACACUUAUGUUUUAAGAGCUUUACGGUUUGCACAGUUCGUUUACAGACCCGUUUUGAGGUUGUUGAUAGAGCUACAGACCAUCAACUCCAUUUCAUUGAUGAACCUAAAGCUUAAGUCCUGCAGCAAAAAUGUAGUCGAUUGGCAAGAUUCCAGAGCACAUUCCUUUUCUAUACCUUGCUGGCUGCGCAGUAUUUCAUCGCUUAUCAGCUUCGUGCAGUGUGUGCAGUAGAGUUUCUCUCCUACCAGACUAUAUGACAAUAACUGCCUCAACUUUCUCUGGUUUCCAUAUUGUACCCUGUACAUUAUGCGGGAGGCUGGGGAUGAUGUUGCAUGAAUGACCUGGAUUCUAGUCUUGGCCUUGCUAAUUACCUUUAAAAAGUUACUUUAUUUCUUAAGACCCCCAACUCCAAUAUCUGGUAAAUGAUGAGAUGCUUUAGAUCAUUUGUUCUCAACCAGAUUCAGAUUUGUGCCUUUCCAACUCCGCCAUCCCCGUAUUUGUCUAUGUCUGAAUAUAUUUUUUACUGUUGCAUUUGUGGUGUGGGGGUUGUUGACAUCCAGGGAUUAGAGGCCAGGAAAGUUGCUCAAUGUCCUAGCAUGCACAGGACAUCCCCACAAGGAAGCAAUGUAGCCUAGAAUGUCAGUAGUUCAGAGAUUGACAAACCCUAGGUUAAAUGAUUUUUAAGAUCCUUUGCAGCCACUCUGUAACUUGUCCUUUGGACUUCCUGUUAGACUGCUAGAGCUGGAAGAGGACAGAAGUAAAAAUCUCUGCUUCGGAGUCAGACCAGCCCAGUGGCUGGAAAGAGACACCCAGGCAUCUCUUAACAUCACCAAGGUGGAAGACCAAGUGCCUGCAAGCUCAUUGUUGAGGUGUAUUAACUCCAUCCUAAGUCAAGGGUCCCAGUUGGCAGUACCCUACACAGAUGGAGCCUGAUCCUGUCAACCAAGCAUCCUGGCUUCCAAGGAAAAUCAAGAUGUUACUUAGCAGACAUUAUGAUUGAUGUAUGUAUAUAGGUGACUCUAUGACCAGUGUGAUUCUGCAAUCUGUACAAUUAGAAAAUGAGAAAUUAUACCCCAAUGAUACAAAUGUAUGAAUUGCCAAGAUCAUUGUAAUGUCAUGUGUCGAUAAUAAUAAUAAAAAAAAAGGUGUUACUUAGUG